GCCUAGCUCAGUUGGUAGAGCGUGAGUCUCUUAAUCCCAGGGUUGUGGUUUCAGCCCUACAUUAGGCA